UUCAAUAGGUUCCUUAGCUGAGUUUGCCUGUGAAGUGGAAAUAACAGAGUGUGAACCACUUCUAGAUGGUUGUUUUUAUAUAGAGAUUGAAAGUCGUAGGAGAUUUCUA